rnacentral:rRNA from 1 species
UUAUUACUAGUUGCCAGCAUUAAGUUGGGCACUCUAGUGAGACUGCCGGUGACAAACCGGAGGAAGGUGGGGACGACGUCAAAUCAUCAUGCCCCUUAUGACCUGGGCUACACACGUGCUACAAUGGAUGGUACAACGAGUUGCGAGACCGCGAGGUUUAGCUAAUCUCUUAAAACCAUUCUCAGUUCGGAUUGUAGGCUGCAACUCGCCUACAUNAAGCCGGAAUCGCUAGUAAUCGCGGAUCAGCAUGCCGCGGUGAAUACGUUCCCGGGCCUU